rnacentral:rRNA from 1 species
GUGCCAGCCGCCGCGGUAACACCGGCAGCCCAAGUGAUGGCCGAUAUUAUUGGGCCUAAAGCGUCCGUAGCUGGCCGCGCAAGUUCGUCGGGAAAUCCACUCGCUUAACGAGUGGGCGUCCGGCGAAAACUGUGCGGCUUGGGACCGGAAGAUCCAAGGGGUACGUCCGGGGUAGGAGUGAAAUCCCGUAAUCCUGGACGGACCGCCGAUGGCGAAAGCACGUCGCGAGAACGGAUCCGACAGUGAGGGACGAAAGCCAGGGUCUCGAACCGGAUUAGAUACCCUAGUAGUCC